GCACGUGCCCGGGGAGCCGCUUAGGGGACCGCGGCGCGCUCGCCUUCAGAGCGUCUCUCCAGCGGCCGCACGCAGCUCUGACCUCGUUCCCCUACGUGCUCUUAGCGAGAAAGGAGACUCGCUUCACUUGUACCGAUAUGCUUUCAUCAGUGUACACAACAGAGAACUGGGGAGAAUGUGACGCCCAGCGCAGCGGGCCAAGUCCCAGCAGAGUCCCAAGAGGGACAGGUUACGCUCUACCCUGACUGAGCACACAGGAGAAGGCCCAUGUCUGUCCUUGCCGUGGAAACGGCUGUCCUGACCCAGGCUGCUGGCCCUGGCAUGGGCGCCGUCCACCAAGUGUGUGCUCCGUGGGACCUGCUGAGACAGAUGCCAGGCUUCUACUACACACGCCAGAUCUCAAUCCCGCCAUGUCCGAGGGCCCAGAGACUGAAAUCUUAAUUGGUAAUAUAUUGUAAAAUUCACUAUUCA